AGAAGGGAAAUGAAAAAGAGAGUCAGACGCAAGAGAAACGUCCCCAGAAGGUGGUUUACAGCGCUCGCCCGUCUUCCUCCCUCAGGAUCCUUCCAGACAAAGCCAACUAUUUCCUGGGAAAGAUCGCCGGCGUUACCGUCAUGAUGGACAACUUUGUCGGCAGGAGCAAGAGUCGCUAGGGACCUGCGAGAUAAGUCUUCGAUACCGUCACAAAGCGAGCGCAAGAAUGAAUCAGGGAGAACAAUGGAACAUCACUGCUGGCAUUUGCGAUGUUAUUUUGACAUUCCAUUAGAUUAGUGAUUCUCAACCCUUCCUCUGUCAUUUACCCCUUCGCCUGGAACUACUUUACCCCCUUAUUUGCAUAAAAAAGGAAUGGAAUACCUGGCAUAAGCGUAAAAAAACAGUUGUGGUUAUUAAGAUUUUUUUUUAUGAAUUAAUAUUGAUAAAAAGAAAGAUAUAGCUAUUGUCCAUUUGGUUUUAAAAAGCCAGAGGCAUCAUCAUUUGAUUCAUUAAGUCAUCCACUUUACUCACUUAAAGUUACCACGCGAACACCACGUGGCAAUAUCCGUCGCUCCCGCCCUCCGUACUAAUAUAGAUUUACCCUCUGCCAUGUAGAAUUUUUUACCCCAGCGGAUAACGUAACCCCCGGAUGAGAAUCACUGCCUUAUAUAUACAUAUAUGCUUUGUCGCGAACACAUCAGAAUUUUCGAAACUCGAAAUAUCGCAACUACCGACUCUUAAAGUAUUUUUCUUAAUGUCCAACCUUUUGGCUCUCGAAGCUAUUCAGUAACAUUAAUCGCAGCUGACUCUGUAUCUCCGUCAACUCCGCAGCAAAUGUUUAGAAAUCCGAAUCAUUCACUGAAAUCUGAAUUACUCACUGAAACUGCCAGUCGCUGUAAAUGUCAGUCCUUUCAAAUGUCUGCAAUAAAGGAAUGGCACAUUAA